UGGGGAAUAUUGCACAAUGGGCGCAAGCCUGAUGCAGCCAUGCCGCGUGUAUGAAGAAGGCCUUCGGGUUGUAAAGUACUUUCAGCGGGGAGGAAGGGAGUAAAGUUAAUACCUUUGCUCAUUGACGUUACCCGCAGAAGAAGCACCGGCUAACUCCGUGCCAGCAGCCCCGGUAAUACGGAGGGUGCAAGCGUUAAUCGGAAUUACUGGGCGUAAAGCGCACGCAGGCGGUUUGUUAAGUCAGAUGUGAAAUCCCCGGGCUCAACCUGGGAACUGCAUCUGAUACUGGCAAGCUUGAGUCUCGUAGAGGGGGGUAGAAUUCCAGGUGUAGCGGUGAAAUGCGUAGAGAUCUGGAGGAAUACCGGUGGCGAAGGCGGCCCCCUGGACGAAGACUGACGCUCAGGUGCGAAAGCGUGGGGAGCAAACAGG
rnacentral:rRNA from 1 species